UUUAUACUCCCUCCGUCCCAUAUUAAAUGCCGAAAUAUUACAUGAAUCUGGACGUAUUUUAGUAUAUAGAUACGUCCAUUUUUAGACAAAUUUGAGUCACUUAAUAUAGGACGGAGGGAGUAUGUU
rfam:Brachypodium distachyon strain Bd21 chromosome 3, whole genome shotgun sequence.